GAUGAACGCUGGCGGCGUGCCUAAUACAUGCAAGUCGAGCGAACAGACGAGGAGCUUGCUCCUCUGACGUUAGCGGCGGACGGGUGAGUAACACGUGGAUAACCUACCUAUAAGACUGGGAUAACUUCGGGAAACCGGAGCUAAUACCGGAUAAUAUAUUGAACCGCAUGGUUCAAUAGUGAAAGACGGUUUUGCUGUCACUUAUAGAUUGAUCCGCGCCGCAUUAGCUAGUUGGUAAGGUAACGGCUUACCAAGGCAACGAUGCGUAGCCGACCUGAGAGGGUGAUCGGCCACACUGGAACUGAGACACGGACCAGACGACUACGGGAGGCAGCAGUAGGGAAUAUUACGCAAUGGGCGAAAGAAUGACGGAGCAAAGCCGCGUGAGUGAUGAAGGUCUUAGGAUCGUAAAACUCUGUUAUUAGGGAAGAAAAAAUGUGUAAGUAACUAUGCACGUAUUGACGGUACCUAAUCAGAAAGCAACGGCUAACUACGUG
rnacentral:rRNA from 1 species